UACGUAGGGUCCGAGCGUUGUCCGGAAUUACUGGGCGUAAAGGGCUCGUAGGCGGCCAACUAAGUCGGAUGUGAAAUCCCCAGGCUUAACCUGGGAACUGCAUCCGAUACUGGAUGGCUUGAAUCCGGGAGAGGGAUGCGGAAUUCCAGGUGUAGCGGUGAAAUGCGUAGAUAUCUGGAGGAACACCGGUGGCGAAGGCGGCAUCCUGGACCGGCAUUGACGCUGAGGAGCGAAAGCCAGGGGGAGCAAACGGG
rnacentral:rRNA from 1 species